rnacentral:rRNA from 1 species
CCUACGGGUGGCAGCAGUGAGGAAUAUUGGUCAAUGGACGCAAGUCUGAACCAGCCAUGCCGCGUGCAGGAUGACGGCUCUAUGAGUUGUAAACUGCUUUUGUACGAGGGUAAACCCCGAUACGUGUCUCGGGUUGAAAGUAUCGUACGAAUAAGCAUCGGCUAACUCCGUGCCAGCAGCCGCGGUAAUACGGAGGAUCCGAGCGUUAUCCGGAUUUCUUGGGUUUAAAGGGUGCGGAGGCGGUUGGAUAAGUUCGAGGGUAAAUGUCGGGGGUUAACCCCGAAACUGCCUCUAGUACUGUUGGACUAGAGAGUAGUUGCGGUAGGCGGAAUGUAUGGUGUAGCGGUGAAAUGCUUAGAGAUCAUACAGAACACCGAUUGCGAAGGCAGCUUACCAAGCUAUAUCUGACGUUGAGGCACGAAAGCGUGGGUAGCAAACAGGAUUAGAUACCCCAGUAGUC